CGUAUCGCACAGAUGAGCUUAGUAUGAACUUUGACCAACAGAUGGCACUAUUAACUGCUCUUUUUAGUUGCUACCAUGGAGGCAGAAUUUUUACGUCCAUGGUUGCUACUUGCGACUCUCAGUCGCGACAUGUCGCAGAAAUCGCAGUUGGACUCGAUAGCGAAUCGUAGGGAAGGAGCGUAGUACGAACGUUGGCCACCAAUGGCAUGUUAACUGCGUUUUCUAAUUCCCCAAGGCUAAAUAAUUGUACUGGUCGUGUGAAGAAUAUUCUAAUUUGUGUGAAAAAUUACAGCUAUAGCUGCAUUUGUUUCUUUGCAAAUGAGACCCUAUCAACUACAUACUAGUUCUUUAUGUAUUGGCAUGUAUUGCAGAAAAUGCUUAAGAAGCAGGUCUCUCACUGUUAUAUAAAUGUACUGGAUGUGUGAAGUAUUUUCUAAUUUGCGCGAAAAAGUAAUAUUCACUGCCAGGAAAGUAAACUUCUUCCUUUGCUCUUGUAAGUACCAGAAUGUAUUUCAUCUGCAUAAGUGCUUAAUUGGAGGACGUUCUUGUUUGGAAAAGAAGUAUCCUAAAAUAACUAGCCUGUAAAUUUUUUUAUGCUUUAUAGGCAGCUGGCAGUAAGACUAAAGUCAACUUUUAAUUCUUUCUCACAUAUGUCAGUCUUUUUUAUGUGCCUUGUUCUGGCGAUGAGUGUUAGUUUGUUUCUGCAAGAUAAUCGACAUGUUUUGAAUAUUCCCUCACAUUUUCAUAUUUCAUGUUUAACUUGUAAAUUACUGACAAUGAAGACCUCAUAAACGUGAACGUCAAUAAUAUUUUUUUUUUUUUCAAAUGGAAAGACUCGAACCAAAACAAUCUCAUUUGCUAGGCGCUGUUCUUGUCCAUCGCUGAUAACGUUCUCCACAUCACUACAGUGACCAGCUGAGGUCUGUUACUUUAUCUUGUGUCAUAUAUUCUGAGACACUGAAGCGCUAAUACCUCAUUAUUUGAUUUUCAGUACCAAUAAGUUGCAUCUUUUUCAGAGUUUCUCAAUGCAGUGCUGGUUUGGAACAGCAUUUAUUCAUAGGACAUUAGUUAUAAUACGGUUAUAACAUAAAACAAGCCAAAUACGAGCUUGACAAAAUCCAAUAUAGCCUCACACAGUUACUUCAGCCAAAGUAUAUCUUGAAAAGGAGUGCAGCCACAGUACCUCUUGAAUUGCAUAUGCAAACCCAGGCAUGUGAGCCAACGAAGAUGAUGACUCCUGCAAGCGUCAGUGUUGUUUUACAUUAUUUUCAGAAUUUCUUUUAAAAUAUAAACAUAUCAGAUAGUUGAUAUAUGAAUUAACAAAACUGCAAAACAAGCACAUAAAACAGAAUGUGAAAUCACAAAAGUAGGUAUACAAAUAAAAUAUUUCUGAAUUCCAAUAAAAACUGAAGAUCACAUGCUUUCAACAGAAAAAUCAGAAAGUAAAUGUAAAAAUUUAUUUGUUAGGAAUAAUUUAAGUUUCUUCUUGAAGAUAUUUCUAUUGUGUGCAUAUAAAUCUUUUGCCAAUUUAUUAAACCAGAUUUGAGCGCUGAUAUAUGA